rnacentral:siRNA from 1 species
AAAUUCAAGAUUUGUCAUGGGCU